rnacentral:rRNA from 1 species
UGUUUUUCUUGAGUGAAGUAGAGGCAGGCGGAAUUCCUAGUGUAGCGGUGAAAUGCGUAGAUAUUAGGAGGAACACCAGUGGCGAAGGCGGCCUGCUGGGCUUUUACUGACGCUGAGGCUCGAAAGCGUGGGGAGCAAACAGGAUUAGAUACCCUGGUAGUCCACGCCGUAAACGAUGAUUACUAGGUGUGGGGGGACUGACCCCUUCCGUGCCGGAGUUAACACAAUAAGUAAUCCACCUGGGGAGUACGACCGCAAGGUUGAAACUCAAAGGAAUUGACGGGGCCCCGCACAAGCAGUGGAGUAUGUGGUUUAAUUCGAAGCAACGCGAAGAACCUUACCAGGUCUUGACAUCCUGAGAAGUCGGCAGAGAUGCUGAUGUGCCUUUCGGGGAACUCAGAGACAGGUGGUGCAUGGUUGUCGUCAGCUCGUGUCGUGAGAUGUUGGGUUAAGUCCCGCAACGAGCGCAACCCUUAUCAUUAGUUGCUACGCAAGAGCACUCUAAUGAGACUGCCGUUGACAAAACGGAGGAAGGUGGGGAUGACGUCAAAUCAUCAUGCCCCUUAUGACCUGGGCCACACACGUACUACAAUGGCUAUUAACAGAGGGAAGCAAUACCGCGAGGAGGAGCAAACCCCUAAAAAUAGUCUCAGUUCGGAUUGUAGGCUGAAACCCGCCUACAUGAAGCCGGAAUUGCUAGUAAUCGCGGAUCAUCAUGCCGCGGUGAAUACGUUCCCGGGGCUUGUACACACCGCCCGU